UGCGCAGGUCACAGCCCCGCCCAAGGAAAACUCCUAAAGCGGGUGUCGCAGGUUCGAAUCCUGCCGGGG
rnacentral:tRNA from 1 species